AAAGUACUCCCUCCGUCCCAAAAUUAUUGUCUUAGAUUUGUCUAGAUACGGAUGUAUCAAGUCACAUUUUAGUAUUAGAUACAUCUGUAUCUGGACAAAUCUAAGACAAGAAAUUUGGGACAGAGGGAGUAGUUG
rnacentral:pre_miRNA from 1 species